rnacentral:sRNA from 1 species
UAAAUAGGUUGCUGGUCAAAUUCCCUGAGUUGAAUUAUCAGCUUAAAAUUAAAGUGUGCAUUGACAAAGACUCUGGGGACGUUGCAGCUCUCAGAGGGUAAGUUCAGCCUAGAGGCUUCCUUUUGUUCCGUUUAACCUAACUUCAUCCUCCGGCUACUUGGUCACCUACAUAGUUGAUUGUUCCCC